ensembl:rRNA 5S_rRNA 5S ribosomal RNA
GUCUACGGCCAUUCCAUCCUGAACACGCUCGAUCUCAUCUGAUCUCGGAAGCUAAGUAGGGUCGGGCCUUGUUAGUACUUCGAUGGGAGACCAUCUGGGAAUACCAUGUGCUGCAGACU